rnacentral:rRNA from 1 species
GACGAGGGGUCCAAGCGUUGUUCGGAAUCAUUGGGCGUAAAGCGGGUGUAGGUGGCUCUAUAAGUCAGGAGUGAAAGUCCCGAGCUUAACUUGGGAAGUGCUUUUGAUACUGUAGAGCUUGAGUGUGGGAGAGGAUCGUGGAAUUCCAGGUGUAGUGGUGAAAUACGUAGAUAUCUGGAGGAACACCGGUGGCGAAGGCGGCGAUCUGGCCCAACACUGACACUGAGACCCGAAAGCGCGGGGAUCAAACAGG